GAUGAACGCUAGCUACAGGCUUAACACAUGCAAGUCGAGGGGCAGCACAGUGUAGCAAUACAUGGGUGGCGACCGGCGCACGGGUGCGUAACGCGUAUCCAACCUUCCCGUUACUCUUGGAUAGCCUUCCGAAAGGGGAGAUUAAUACAAGAUGGUAUUCAAAUUCCGCAUGUUAUUUGAAUUAAAGAUUUAUCGGUAACGGAUGGGGAUGCGUGACAUUAGGUAGAUGGCGGGGUAACGGCCCACCAUGCCCACGAUGUCUAGGGGUUCUGAGAGGAACGGUCCCCCACACUGGAACUGAGACACGGUCCAGACUCCUACGGGAGGCAGCAGUGAGGAAUAUUGGUCAAUGGUCGGAAGACUGAACCAGCCAAGUAGCGUGAAGGAUGAAGGUUCUAUGGAUUGUAAACUUCUUUUAUACGGGAAUAAAACCACCUACGUGUAGGUGCUUGUAUGUACCGUAUGAAUAAGCAUCGGCUAACUCCGUG
rnacentral:rRNA from 1 species